CACCGAAAUCUUUCGUUUUCUGCUCUCGCCCGAUGGAUCGAUUCAAGGGUUCAGAAGAGACCAGAACGAAUCGCCGGAAACCCCAGAAGAAAACAGGGUCCGCGGUGAGGAGGCGCCGGAAACGAUAAACGGCGGCGAAGGAGGGGCCGAAGGGAGGGAAGCACCGGAGGAUCCGACGCUGUUCAUGGGGAUGAAGGUAUGGAGAAUAGCCUCGAUCCACGGGACUGCAAGGGGGAUUACCUCGGCGUCGCUUCCGAUCCCUAUGUCACCGAGACAGUUCUCUGGAUCGCUAUAUGUCCUUUCACAUUUGGAAGCUCUCUUUGUUUCGGUGAGGCAAUAUUCUUUGAAUAAUGUGUUCUUUUGUAUGGACGGAAAAGCCUUUGCAAGCAAUCAGAGAAGUGAUGGUUUGAAUGCAACAAUGUGAUGAUUAAUUUUAAAGCUGUAUUGAUGAUUAAAACUCUUUAUUCAACUGCAAUCUAUCAAAUGUAUUUAUUCUGUUUAACAUCUUUCAAUAGAGUUUAAAAAGAAGUCUGUCCAACUUGAUCUUCAUCUAAGUUUUCAGUCAAUACAACAUUAUGCUCUAUGGAUUCUGUCAUCUGUUGUAAAGUUAUAAAAUGACUAGCACUUAGGACUUCUCUAAC